AACCAAUUAAAAAGUUACUUCGUCUCCAUGAACCACAUCGGUAGAAGUGAAACUCUCUCUUUUGACUUCCGGCUUCUGAAGCAUGCUUCAUGUCUUGGAUUCUGUUCUGAAUUAUGGGACUGCUCCAUGAACUCUAUGGGCCUUAAGUCUGCUAGCAUAGAAAGAGGUAUCCCUAGAGGAGGUAUCCACAAGUAGAAGGGAGGAUCAAAGGUGGUGGCUGCAAGGGAAACUGAAAAGGAAAGUAUUUUUGUGAUUUUUGAGCUGACCAAAAGACUGGAUGGAUGCUGAAAGACAUCACCGUGCCAUUCAGCUGUUGGGGGUAUCCACGAUGUCAAGCUGUUAAUUGCUUUUGCAGGAUGGAGCAGGAAAAGCAAAAACAUAAAAUAAAAAGAAGGGCCAAGUGGAUUUACCCCAAUCAGUUUGAAGAUACAUUGACUCCA